rnacentral:rRNA from 1 species
UGCAGUCGAGGGGUAUAGUUCUUCGGAACUAGAGACCGGCGCACGGGUGCGUAACGCGUAUGCAAUCUACCUUUUACAGAGGGAUAGCCCAGAGAAAUUUGGAUUAAUACCUCAUAGUAUAUAGCCCUGGCAUCAGGAUUAUAUUAAAGUCACAACGGUAAAAGAUGAGCAUGCGUCCCAUUAGCUAGUUGGUAAGGUAACGGCUUACCAAGGCUACGAUGGGUAGGGGUCCUGAGAGGGAGAUCCCCCACACUGGUACUGAGACACGGACCAGACUCCUACGGGAGGCAGCAGUGAGGAAUAUUGGACAAUGGGCGCAAGCCUGAUCCAGCCAUGCCGCGUGCAGGAUGACGGUCCUAUGGAUUGUAAACUGCUUUUAUACGAGAAGAAACACUCCUUCGUGAAGGAGCUUGACGGUAUCGUAAGAAUAAGGAUCGGCUAACUCCGUGCCAGCAGCCGCGGUAAUACGGAGGAUCCAAGCGUUAUCCGGAAUCAUUGGGUUUAAAGGGUCCGUAGGCGGUUUAAUAAGUCAGUGGUGAAAGCCCAUCGCUCAACGGUGGAACGGCCAUUGAUACUGUUAGACUUGAAUUAUUAGGAAGUAACUAGAAUAUGUAGUGUAGCGGUGAAAUGCUUAGAGAUUACAUGGAAUACCAAUUGCGAAGGCAGGUUACUACUAAUUGAUUGACGCUGAUGGACGAAAGCGUGGGUAGCGAACAGGAUUAGAUACCCUGGUAGUCCACGCCGUANACGAUGGAUACUAGCUGUUGGAAGCAAUUUCAGUGGCUAAGCGAAAGUGAUAAGUAUCCCACCUGGGGAGUACGUUCGCAAGAAUGAAACUCAAAGGAAUUGAC